UACGUAGGGUCCGAGCGUUGUCCGGAUUUAUUGGGCGUAAAGAGCGUGUAGGCGGCCAGGUAGGUCUGGUGUGAAAACUCGAGGCUUAACCUCGAGAUGUCAUCGGAAACCAUCUGGCUAGAGUCCGGAAGAGGAGAGUGGAAUUCCUGGUGUAGCGGUGAAAUGCGCAGAUAUCAGGAAGAACACCAAUGGCGAAAGCAGCUCUCUGGGACGGUACUGACGCUGAGACGCGAAAGCGUGGGGAGCGAACAGG
rnacentral:rRNA from 1 species